CUCUGGAUGGCUGCCAUGUUAAAGUCAGAGAAAACAAAGACGACACAGCAGUGCGAUCUGAGAGUUUGAGCUGUGAAGAUCUGACUUUACGACGGCUGACAGAAGAAAAGUGAGGACAAAAGUGGCAGCAGCAGACCCCACGUCUGUCAUUUAAACUGAUCAUCUGAUCUGAGAUCUAAGGACCUGGACCAGGACAAACAUCUCAGUGUCAGCACCACCAUGAGACUCACCGCCUUGCUGCUCCUGCUGUGCCUGUGCUCUGCUGCGAUGGCUUUGCAAUCUCAAUCGCCAACCAAGCCAGCAAUCAAGUUAUCUACUUGGGGAGAUGUGCACCCAAAAGCUAAGCGGUAAGUAGAAGUGAGAUCUGCUGUGGAAAAAUGA